AGAAAACGCAGUCUGAACCCAAAAAACAAAAAGCCCAAAGGUAAAAUCUUUCCCCUCAGCUGUCCUUAGAUUCCAAAAAUCUUCUCUUGGUCGGUGGUUCAGUCAGUCAAGAUUUGAUUUUUGGCUUCUGAUUCCAUGGGCAUCUUGAAAGAGCUUAAGGACUUGCAGAAAGAUCCACCUACCUCUUGCAGUGCUGGUCCAGUAGAUGAGGACAUGUUCCAUUGGCAAGCAACAAUUAUGGGACCUGCUGAUAGCCCAUAAGCUGGAGGUUGCAUUGAGGACAUAAAGUCUUCCACCCAAACAUUAACAGCAAUGGAAGCAUAUGUCUGGAUAUUCUAAAAGAGCAGUGGAACCCAGCACUAACCAUUUCCAAGGUUUGAUAUGACCAUUUCCCUUUUUGACUUAUCUAUUCAGCCAUUUGCUGAUGUUGAAACUCUUCUUAAUCUGUUUACUUGUUUUGUGUUCCAUGUGCAUAGAUCAAAUGUUUAGAAUGAUAGCCGAGACACCAAAAUACCUUGUUCAUUGUUAUCCAUUGUUGGUAUCAAAGCUCUAAAUCAGUUGAUAUCAAAGCUCAACUAUUCCUGGUGGUCGGUUAUUGGUUGAAUAACUAUUGCUGGAAAAGGUCGCAAAACAGGACAUGCUAGGAUCGGAUGAGGAGGUUCUCUCAGGAAAAAAAUGUUCAUGAACCUGUGAUGGAAGACAUGCAAAGAAAAAUUAUAAAAACAACUUGUUGACUGGCGGUGGUGCAGUUUCAAAGGUAAGUUGAAUAAUUAUCCCGUCAAUUAACAAAGAUGAAGAAGAAAAAACUAGAAGUUCUUGAAGAGAGUGAUCACAAAUCUAUGGUUAAUUAACUCAUUUUAGAAGCAUGAGCAAAUAAGAUAGUUUUUUUAUUGGGAUGAGUAUCAUGGAGAUUUUGAUGAGCCCAUUUAUGAUGAGAUAAAUAUGGAUUGGUAUCUUUGAUCAAUUUAUAAUGUUUAUUUUGAUAAUGAUAGCAUAAACAAUAACAAUGAUGCUGUCAUCAAUAGUGUCCUCAUUGGUAUGUUAGUGGUUAAGUGUAAAUACAACAUGGAAGGUGUUCAACCAAAAAAAAUUGUUGAUUUGAUUAAAAGUUUAUUAUUAUCACAAAUAUAGAUUUUUUUCUAGGAUUGUGAGACUACAACAUAUGUUGAGAAAACAAGUUUGAGAUUUGUUGUUCAUUACUCUAGAAGUUAGUUGAAGAGAAAUCAUUUAUCAAUCGAUGUUUCUUAUGCAAAAUUUAACUUGAAUGGAUUGAAGUUAAACAUCAAAAAUUAGUAUGCACUUGAAGCGAAGAAAGAAAAGAGGUUGAUAAACCUUGAUUGGACAUCUACGUGCCUCGAGAACGAGUUCUUUCCAAUCUGAAGAGACUGAUGUAAGGGGUUUUUAGGGGAAUAUAUUUGUUUCCUUAGUUAUUUUCAUUCUAUUUUGAUUAGAAAUCAUUUUUUUCUUAUUUAUUUUUUUCUUAUUUAGUUUAGUCCUAGGACAAUGAUAAAUAGGAUUGUUUAAUUUGUAUUUAAAAAGACUGCUUACAUAGAAUUGUAUAGCAAUACAAUUUCAAAUGAGGGUUUUUAUAUAAUGAUUCUAUUUAGCAGAAUUUUGUGUUGCUUAUAUUUGCAAUCCUUUUACUGCAGACUCAGAGUUGGGAAGAAACUGGUCUGCUAGGUCUCUGAAUAUCUACUAUUUGAAAGCGUAGAAGGGGGGAAGGGAACGUGAUGUAAUAUUGCCCUGUUGUUAGAAUUGUCAGCUUGUUUAUUUGUUAUUUAAAUACUCUCAUUAGCUGUUGAAUGCUAGGAGUGCUGAUCCUGGUAUACUUGUGCUUUUAGCAAUUUGGACAGAUACAGGCAUAACCUUCAUUAAAGCAUUAAUGUACUCAUAAUUUGCCGUUUUAUGGA